AUUGAACGCUGGCGGCAUGCUUUACACAUGCAAGUCGAACGGUAACAGGCCUUAGGGUGCUGACGAGUGGCGAACGGGUGAGUAAUGCAUCGGAACGUACCCAGAGGUGGGGGAUAACUCAUCGAAAGCUUUGCUAAUACCGCAUACGAUCUGAGGAUGAAAGCGGGGGACCGAGAGGCCUUGUUUGGCUUGUCCCGUUUGUGUCGGCGGAUGUCGGAUUAGCUAGUUGGGGGGGUAAAGGCAUACCAAGGCGACGAUCCGUAGCUGGUCUGAGAGGACGACCAGCCACACGGGGACUGAGACACGGCCCAGACUCCUACGGGAGGCAGCAGUGGGGAAUUUUGGACAAUGGGCGCAAGCCUGAUCCAGCAAUGCCGCGUGCGGGAAGAAGGCCUUCGGGUUGUAAACCGCUUUUGGCAGGAACGAAACGGUGUCGGCUAAUACCGGGCGCUAAUGACGGUACCGGAAGAAUAAGCACCGGCUAACUACGUG
rnacentral:rRNA from 1 species